GCCGAAAUAAGAUCAGUUGGGGAGAGCGUUAGACUGAAGAUCCUAAAAAGGUCUCUGUGGUUCAAUCCGGGUUUCGGCA